CAAUCGCAUUUCCAAACAACUAACAACUCAGAAUGCUGGGCAAUAGGACGUUUAAAGUGGCUCCUUACACCUUACAAAGGAAUGGCUGAUGAGAAACAACUCGAUCCGCUCAGCGUUCUAUUGGAAUGCAACGGACGUGAUUGCAAGCUUUUGUUUUGAGUUGCGGUUUUACUGAAAGACUCUACAAUCCGCAAACUUCAAUGAUCUGAAGUAGAAAACCUACAUGCUACAGUGAGAUAUUGUGGAUAAACUUAAGCGACCGCUCCAACAUUGUGUUUUUUUAAAACUGAUGAAGGUUGCGGCAAUAACAGGUCUGUGAUGCCCUUCGAUGUCCUGGGCUGCACACGUGCUACAAUGGCUAGCGCAGUGAGCAUAUUUCAACCGAAACAUCGGUUGGCUGUUCUGAUUGACCCCUUCUGGGUCUCUCUGUAACACUACCGAUGAUCCCUCCUCUGAAAAGAGAGGGUAAGCCGUUCGAAAUUCUGGUAACGAUUCCCCGUAGUUAAGCAAACUUAAACCAUAGUGGUGUCAAACGGGUCCGCUUCCAUCGGAAAAGAUUCCUCCGGAAAAAGGCUUAUGCAGGCAUUUCACGUAUGCUCCUAUAAAUUCCUGGUAGGGAUAGUCUAUUGUAACUGGUAGACUUGUCAACUAGGAAUGCCUUGUACGGG
rnacentral:rRNA from 1 species